UACGUAGGGGGGCAAGCGUUUGUCCGGAUUUAUUGGGCGUAAAGCGCGUGUAGGCGGCCAGGUAGGUCCGCUGUGAAAACCCCGAGGCUCAACCUCGGGACGUCGGCGGAAACCAUCUGGCUAGAGUCCGGAAGAGGAGAGUGGAAUUCCCCGGGUGUAGCGGUGAAAUGCGCAGAUAUCGGGAAGAACACCCGUGGCGAAGGCGGCUCUCUGGGACGGUACUGACGCUGAGACGCGAAAGCGUGGGGAGCGAACAGG
rnacentral:rRNA from 1 species